AUACGUAGGGGGCGAGCGUUGUCCGGAAUGAUUGGGCGUAAAGGGCGCGUAGGCGGCCCGGUAAGUCUGGAGUGAAAGUCCUGCUUUUAAGGUGGGAAUUGCUUUGGAUACUGUCGGGCUUGAGUGCAGGAGAGGUAAGUGGAAUUCCCAGUGUAGCGGUGAAAUGCGUAGAGAUUGGGAGGAACACCAGUGGCGAAGGUGACUUACUGGACUGUAACUGACGCUGAGGCGCGAAAGUGUGGGGAGCAAACAGGAUUAGAUACCCUGGUAGUCCACACUGUAAACGAUGAAUGCUAGGUGUAGGGGGUAUCGACCCCUUCUGUGCCGCAGUUAACACAAUAAGCAUUCCGCCUGGGGAGUACGGCCGCAAGGUUGAAACUCAAAUGAAUUGGCGGGG
rnacentral:rRNA from 1 species